rnacentral:rRNA from 1 species
UACAGAGGUCCCAAGCGUUGUUCGGAUUCAUUGGGCGUAAAGGGUGCGUAGGUGGCGUCGUAAGUCGGGUGUGAAAUCUCGGGGCUUAACUCCGAAACUGCAUUCGAUACUGGCGUGCUUGAGGACUGGAGAGGAGACUGGAAUUCAUGGUGUAGCAGUGAAAUGCGUAGAGAUCAUGAGGAAGACCAGUGGCGAAGGCGGGGUCUCUGGACAGUUCCUGACACUGAGACACGAAGGCCAGGGGAGCAAACGGG